rnacentral:rRNA from 1 species
AGAGUUUGAUCCUGGCUCAGAACGAACGCUGGCGGCGUGCCCAACACAUGCAAGUCGAACAGGGAUAAGUAGCUUGCUAUUUAUUCUAGUGGCGCACGAGUGAGUAACGCGUAGAUAAUCUGCCUUAGACUCUGGGAUAACAUCUCGAAAGGGGUGCUAAUACCGGAUAAGCCCACGGGGACGUGAGUUCUUGCGGGAAAAGGGGGCCUCUGCAUAUGCUCUUGAUCUAAGAUGAGUCUGCGUACCAUUAGCUUGUUGGUAGGGUAAUGGCCUACCAAGGCGACGAUGGUUAGCUGGUCUGAGAGGAUGAUCAGCCACACUGGGACUGAGACACGGCCCAGACUCCUACGGGAGGCAGCAGUGGGGAAUUUUGCGCAAUGGGGGAAACCCUGACGCAGCAACGCCGCGUGAGUGAUGAAGGCUUUCGGGUCGUAAAGCUCUGUCUAGAGGGAAGAAGUGAUAUUCGGUUAAUACCCGGGUUUCUUGACGGUACCUCUGAAGGAAGCACCGGCUAACUCCGUGCCAGCAGCCGCGGUAAUA